ACUCCUACGGGAGGCAGCAGUGGGGAAUCUUCCGCAAUGGGCGAAAGCCUGACGGAGCAACGCCGCGUGAGUGAUGACGGCCUUCGGGUUGUAAAACUCUGUGAUCCGGGACGAAAAGGCAGAGUGCGAAGAACAAACUGCAUUGACGGUACCGGAAAAGCAAGCCACGGCUAACUACGUGCCAGCAGCCGCGGUAAUACGUAGGUGGCAAGCGUUGUCCGGAAUUAUUGGGCGUAAAGCGCGCGCAGGCGGCUUCCCAAGUCCCUCUUAAAAGUGCGGGGCUUAACCCCGUGAUGGGAAGGAAACUGGGAAGCUGGAGUAUCGGAGAGGAAAGUGGAAUUCCUAGUGUAGCGGUGAAAUGCGUAGAGAUUAGGAAGAACACCGGUGGCGAAGGCGACUUUCUGGACGAAAACUGACGCUGAGGCGCGAAAGCGUGGGGAGCAAACAGGAUUAGAUACCCUGGUAGUCCACGCCGUAAACGAUGGAUACUAGGUGUAGGAGGUAUCGACCCCUCCUGUGCCGGAGUUAACGCAAUAAGUAUCCCGCCUGGGAA
rnacentral:rRNA from 1 species